AUACUCUUUUCUACUUAGGGCAUCUGCUACCACAUUGGCUUCUGUCACACCCCCGAACCAGACGGCGGAAACGUCCGGGGGCUGUCGUGACUCAAUUGAAUACCAUAACAUUGAAUAUAUAUGAAACAUAACAACAUUCGUCACCAUUCAUUAAUACAGUACAACCAGUAGCGUUUACAUGUCAUACAUUGUUUAAACAUUACAUUGCCAAAAAUUAAAUUGUUCGGUUCGUACAUAAAUAAACUGCAAGUCGUCACUGAAUAUGAUUUCCUUUGAUUCACUGGUUCCCUGAGAAUACAAGUAUUUUGAAAAACGUCAACAUAUGAAAUGUUGGUGAGUUCAUAAGUAGUGUUUGAAAUCCAAUGUUUGUAUUGUUUGAAAACCACCAGAAAAUCCGAUAUUUUCUGAAAAGAAAAAGCUUUUGAAAACGUUUGUGAAGAUCCAUAGGUAUGCUUGUUUAUUCCUAUACUUUGUAAAAAAAAUGUUCAUUGAAGUUGUAUGCAUUUCGAAUCUGUAUGUAUUGAAAACCCUAGGAAAACCUGAUGUUCUCCUAGUUCCUUGAAUUACAUGAAGUUACAUUGAAACCAUUGCAUAGCGUAUAGUGUCAGUCCCAGGCGACGUUGGAAGGUUCUCGAGCAGGAUUAUUUACUACAAACCCGCGUUACGCAAACGCCCAGUUUGUAGAUAUACUAACGAUUCCCGAAGGCGUCGUCAGUACUAAUCGCGUUAUCCAAUCGCCCGGACUAGGUGUAGUCCCACAUCCGAAGAGAAAGAGGUCACGAAGACCCCGGUGACUCCAUUAACCGGUUGGGGAAAAUAUGCGUGCGAGGGGUCCCCGACCCGCCUCGUAAAAUAUGCAGACUCUUCUAGCAAUACCAAGGACCCUUGGGGACCAGUGGUACAAGCCAUUGAAAGUCACUCUACGUUGUGCCAAGUCGGUGAAACUCAACACUUCGUAGAAAAUAUGUGUCUUCGGGCCUUAAGAUCAGGUCAUUGGGCUAGCUAGGCCCAACAAGCAAGAUUUUACACUUUUGGGGCCCGAAGAUGGUGCGUAGACGUCUGUGCACACUCGUAUGUAUAUGUAUUACCAAACGUUAUUUGUAUGAUUCGUAGUAUCGAAGAGUUAGUAGUUGUAGAUUUCCAUUGGCUCGAGACCGAGCCAAUUCGUUUAACAACGACUUUUGGUAUUGUAAUGAGUUGUAUUUCGUCGAUAGUCGAGGUGUCAUUAUUUGAUCAAAUUGUACAUAUUGAAUUAGCCUUGAAAUAUUUCUGUUUUCAGCCCCUCAUUAUUUGUAAAAUUUACAUUUUCAACCCUUUUAUUGUAAUAUUUCCCGGUUUGGUCCUUAAACUAUUUUUCUUGACAUUUUAACACCAAAAAUUAUUGAAAUUAAUAUUUUCCAGCAUAUUUUUCAUAGAAAACAGUUUAAGUCCCUGAAAAUGCAGUUUUUCUCGGUUUUAGCCCUUCUUUUCGCAAUUUUGACAAUUUUGGCCCAAAUUGGAAAAUUUUUGCAACUUUGGUCCUUUUUAAAUUUAAAAAGCAUUUUAAACCUUUGAAAAGGAUUUGGGACACUUAUAGUCCACUGUUUUACAGAAAUUCACAGUUUUGGCCCUCCAAAACAGAAAAAUUCGCAUAAUGGGCCUCCUUGGGCCGAAAUUUUCAUUUUUAGCCCAAUAAGCUUGAAAUUUAUGUUUUUAAUCCUCUAAUUGAAUAUAAUUCCAGAAAUAGUUUUAUGGAAACUGUUUUGGCACAUUUCAUCCAUCAGAAUCUGUGAAAUGUCAAUUUGGGCCCUUAAUUUUGUAUUUUUCACAUUUUUGGCCCAAAAUGUGUGUUUUUAGCUUAAAGAAAAUUGUUGCUAACCACUUAGCUAUUUUUCUUGUAUCACUUUAUAUGUAGAAAUAUAUUUGAAGCUAAAAUCAUAAAACAUAAGUUAUAUCUCGGUUUUGAGGGGUUUAAUGGCUAGAUCCAACAUUAAAACACAUAUAAGCAUACAUAUAAGCAUGGAAAUCAUACAAGGCAUACAAACACAUAUAGAUCUACACUUUCACUUGUAUUCCCCCCCCCACAAAACUCAUAAAAACAGAAAAUAGGGGUAUGAAUCUCACCUUGGGUGUAGUUUCGGUUUUUGGAAGAAAAGAUGGAAGAAAAAUGAAGUGUUUUUGGCCUUGGCUCCCUUUGAUGAAGAUCUUGAGUUUUGAGAUGGUUCUAGGGUGUAAGAUCACGAUUUUUGCAUAGGUUAGGAAAGGAUUUUGAUAACAAAAGAAUUUAAACCAUAGAUCUAUGCAUGAUCUUACCUUAGAUGAAGAAUUUUGUGGAAGAACCUUCUUGAAUGCUUCCAAAUUUUCGAGAUUUUGGAUGGAGGGGAAGAGAUGUUCUUGAGUGAUCUAGAGAGUGUUUGAGAGAUUUUUGGUGGGUGUAAGUGUGUAUGGCCGAGAGUGAGAGAGGAGAGAAGGGAGAAGUGAUUUUGAAGUGAUGUGCAUGGAGGAAUGGGAAAUAUUGCAUGGAUAUCCUUUGGAUAUUAAUGAGGUGGCAUGCAUUAAGUCAACUCUCCCUUAUCUUCUUGGGUUUGGGCCUUUGGGCCGAGAAUGUGAAGGAAAAAAAAGAUUUUUGGGCCUUUUGGCCCUUAAGCCCAAUAUUAGUGGUAAUUAGGGUGUGUUUUAAGUCUAAGGAGUGUGGUAGGAUUUUUAUGUUUUUCUUGAACUAGUUUUAGGUUAUUCAUGUAUCAAGGCUUUUAAUUUAUUUAAUUCUAGGCCCAACAUGACCUAAAAUGUUAAAAUAAAUAAGUGUGGGUCCAAUUAGAGCCCAAUUAGGGUUCUAAGCCCAUGAUAGUCUAAUUGGAAGCUUAUUGGCCCAUUUGGAUCCAAUAAGGAAGUUCUAGCCUAAAUUAGACUUAACAAGAACUUCUAGGGUCUCCAAUUGUUUGAUGACUAUUUGUAGUUCUAGCAUGUUGUAUUUGAUUGAAGUUUUUGAUUCACAUUAACUUGAAUGUAUAGAUUACAUGGCUCAAAAUUUACAGUUGUGACAUCAUCCCCCCGUUAGAGGGAAUUUCGUCCCGAAAUUCUGUUUGAAAGCUAGAUUUGAGAAUGCUAGAAUAGGUGAGGGUACUUCUGCUUCAUUUGAUCUUCGCGUUCCCACGUGAAUUCUGGCCCACGCUUUGCGUUCCACCGUACCUUCACGAUCGGGAUGCGACUCUGCUUAGUACGCUUCACCUCCCUGUCCAUGAUUUCGAUUGGCUCUUCGACGAACAGGAGAUUCUCAUUGAUUUCGAUUUCGUCAAGAGGAAUGACAAGGGUUUCAUCUGAUAGGCACUUUUUCAGAUUAGAAACAUGAAACACGGGGUGCACACCGUUUAGCUCCGGGGGUAGUUGUAGUCUGUAGGCUACCGGACCUAUUCGGGCGACGAUUUCGAAAGGUCCAAUGUACCGUGGGUUUAGCUUUCCUCGUUUUCCGAAACGUAUAACCCCUUUCCAGGGUGAGACCUUCAACAAUACUCGAUCACCGACCUGGAACUCUAAGGGCUUUCGCCGUUUAUCAGCGUAGCUCUUUUGCCGGUCACGCGAUGCCUGUAAUCGAGCUUUGAUCUGGACAAUCUUUUCUGUGGUCUCGCGAAUGAUUUCCGGUCCUGUCAUUGCCCUAUCCGACGUAUGUGUUCUUGCUAGCUGGGUGUCACCUACUUCAGCCCAACAUAACGGUGAUCUACAUUUACGCCCGUACAGUGCUUCGAAAGGGGCCACCUUAAUGCUCGAAUGAUAACUAUUGUUAUAUGAAAACUCGAUCAACGGUAGGUGGGUAUCCCAAGACUUUCCGAAGUCUAUCACACAUGCACGAAGCAUGUCUUCAAGCGUCUGAAUGGUUCGUUCGCUUUGACCGUCCGUUUGUGGGUGAUACGCGGUGCUCAUAUCAAGAUGAGUUCCCAUGGCCUUGUGGAGCGACUGCCAAAAGCGUGACGUGAACCUACUGUCCCUAUCCGAGAUGAUAGAUUUUGGCACUCCAUGAAGUCUUACAAUCUCUCGUAGGUACAAACGCGUCAGCCUCUCCAUCUUGUAGGACUCUUUGAUUGGCAGGAAAUGGGCAGAUUUCGUCAGUCGGUCGAUUAUUACCCAUAUGGUGUCCAAUCCGUCCGACGUCUUGGGCAGCUUGGUCACGAAGUCCAUAGAAAUCCCCUCCCAUUUCCACUCAGGGAUUGCCGGUUGCUGUAACAAUCCGGAAGGUUUCUGGUAUUCCACUUUUACUUUGGCACACGUAAGGCACUUACUAACAUAAGUUGCGAUUUCCGCCUUCAUGUUAGGCCACCAAUAGUGCUGCUUAAUGUCCAAAUACAUCUUGUCCGAACCAGGAUGAAUGGAGUAUCGUGUCUUGUGGGCUUCCUUCAUAACGAUCUCCCUGAAUCCUCCGAUUUUUGGAACCCAAAUACGGUUCAUGAAGUAGUAUACCCCAUUCUCUUUGACUUCCAGGUUCUUCUCCAUUCCGCGCAAUGCCUCGCUAGUUCUAUUUUCCGCUUUCAUAGCCUCUGCCUGGACUGAUGCAAUUUGAGUGGUCAGAUGAGACUGAAUGGUUAUCGAGUGCGUUUUCGUACGGCGAUUUGUGUAUUCCUUCCGACUUAAUGCGUCAGCUACCACGUUGGCCUUGCCUGGAUGGUACUUGAUCUCGCAUUCGUAGUCGUUUAACAAUUCCACCCAUCUUCGUUGUCUCAUGUUCAGCUCCUUCUGAUUCAAGAUGUGCUGGAGGCUCUUGUGGUCCGUAAAGAUGGUGCACUUUGUACCGUACAGGUAGUGCCUCCAAAUUUUUAGGGCGAAGACCACGGCUCCCAGUUCUAGGUCAUGGGUUGUGUAAUUUACUUCGUGCGUCUUUAGUUGACGGGACGCAUAUGCUAUCACUCUUCCACGUUGCAUGAGAACGCAACCUAAGCCUUGAUUUGACGCGUCACAGUAAACUACAAAAUCUUCCGUUCCUUCAGGUAGAGAUAGUACAGGAGCGCUGCAAAGAGCUUGCUUCAAGGUUCGAAACGCAAUCUCUUGUCGGUCUGUCCACUUGAAUGGCACACUCUUUUGCGUAAGCAAGGUAAGUGGCUUGGCGAUUUUAGAGAAGUUUUGGAUGAAUCUCCUAUAGUAGCCUGCUAGGCCUAAGAACUGACGAAUUUCUGUGGGCGUAGUCGGAGUUGCCCAUCCUUCCACAGCUUUGACCUUAGAGGGAUCCACAUGAAUUCCGUCUUGGCUAACUACGUGGCCUAAGAAAUUCACACUCCGAAGCCAGAACUCGCACUUGGAGAGUUUGGCGUAAAGCUUUUCCGAUCGCAGCGUUUCUAGGACUUGUCGGAGAUGUUGGCCAUGCUCCUCUUUGCUUCGAGAAUAGACGAGGAUGUCAUCGAUAAACACAAUGACGAAGUUGUCCAAGAACGGUCGACAGAUUCGGUUCAUUAGGUCCAUAAAUGCAGCGGGUGCAUUUGUUAGACCGAAGGGCAUUACGACGAAUUCAUAAUGUCCAUAGCGGGUUCGGAAAGCGGUUUUAGGAAUAUCUUCUUCUCGGACCUUGAGUUGAUGGUAUCCGGACCGUAGAUCUAUUUUAGAAAAAUAGCUAGCUCCUUGGAGCUGGUCGAAUAGAUCAUCGAUUCGUGGGAGUGGGUAGCGGUUUUUAACAGUGAGUUUAUUCAACUCUCUGUAAUCGAUGCACAUUCUGAAAGAUCCGUCCUUCUUUUUGACAAAGAGCACCGGAGCUCCCCAUGGCGAGUAGCUAGGUCGGAUAAAUCCCUUGUCCAGAAGCUCACUGAGUUGGCUGGAUAAUUCCUGCAUUUCAGCAGGUGCCAACCGAUAUGGUGAUUUAGCGAGGGGAGUUGCUCCUGGAACGAGGUCGAUUCGGAACUCAACCUGUCUCUCUGGGGGUACUCCUGGAAGAUCUUCGGGAAACACGUCCGGAAAUUCACACGCUACCGGAAUGUCUUGGAUGUUAGUUUCUUCUUUGGUCUUGUCCACUAUGUGGGCCAAGAACGCUAAGUUGUUCUUUCGCAGAUGUUUUUGUGCUUUGAUGCACGAGAUGAGACGAAGAUUCGUACUGGGUUUGUCUCCGUAAAUUACUAGGGUUUCGUGAUUUGGGAGACGAAGGCGAACGGCCUUCUCGUGGCACAUAAUCUCAGCAUGGUGGGGGCUUAACCAAUCCAUGCCGAUAAUCACAUCGAAACUCCUAAUUGAUACUGGCAUUAGGUCUAUUCGAAAGACGUGCUGGUUAAGGGUUAGGGUACAUCCGAUGUAGAUCUCCCUAGUGGAUUCGGUUUUCCCAUUGGCCAUUUCCACCGUAUAGGUUUCAUUUAGCUUCUGGGGUUGUUGUUUUAAUAAAUGUUUAAACUUCUCGCUUACGAAACUUCGCUCCGCUCCGGUAUCAAAUAAGAUGCAUGCAUAAGUGUGGUUUAGGAGGAACGUACCGGUCACAACUGCGGGGUCCUGAACUGCAUCACUCUGACCCAUAGUCAGCAUUCUUCCUGCUCCUCUGUUUCCUGAGUUGUUGUUGUUGUUAGGGCAGUCUCGACGGAAAUGUCCCGUCCUUCCACACCCGAAACAGGUGUGGCUAGGCCCUGCGUUGUUGCCGCCGGCAUUGGUGUUGUUGGUAUUGCGGUGGUUGUUGUUGUUGUUCUGGUUGUUUCCCUGACUCUGGUUCUGAGAAGGAUAAGUCCUGCAGAACUUUGCAGUGUGUCCCCUUCGAUUGCAACUGGUGCAAUGGAACUCCCUACAUUCUCCUUGGUGAUGGAAACCGCACUUGUUGCAUUUGGGAUGAUUGCCGGAAUAGGGUCUUGAAGUAUUUGAAGCAGCUGAGGCUGGAGCAUGUGAUGUGACUGGUACCGGCGCAGUGACAGCGUGAACUGCCACCGUUUGCUGCUUUUUAGAGGUCUCGGGACCUUGACGCCCCUUCCUCUUGUUGUUCCAUCCUUUCUUACCAUCGCUCUCCUUCUUCUUCUCAGUCUCUACCGGUUUCUCGCCCUUUUUGUGGUUAUGAUCAUAUAGCCUCUUUGCCAAUCUCUUCGCACUGUCAAAAGUUUCAGGGUUCGCAGCUAUCACAUUCCCUUGAAUGGGGGAUGUCAGUCCCCAAAUGAAUCGUUCAAUCUUCUUCCCCUCUGAUGUGAUCAUACCCGGGCACAACAGAGAUAGUUCGCUGAAUCUCGAUAUGUAAGCAUCGAUGUUCCCAUUCUGCACCGUGAGAUUCCAUAGUUCCUGCUCCAUCUUCUGUAUUUCGCCUCGGGGGCAGUACUCAGCCGUCAACAUCUCUUUCAUCUCUGCCCAGGGAAUAGAGUUGGCGACAGGGAGUGUCAUAGCUUCCACAUGACCAUUCCACCAAGUGAGUGCUUGGUCCACAAAAGUGCAGGCCGCGAACUUCACUUUCAUCUGCUCGGGGCACUCGCAUAUCUCGAAUACCGACUCUACCUUCUCGAUCCAUCGCUUUAGGGCGAUCACUCCUCCGGUACCGUUGAAAGUUCGGGGUUUAGCGUUCGCAAAAUCCUUGUAGGUGCACGUUUUAGUGAGCCCUUGGUUCGUCCCGUUGUUCGAACUUCCGGAGCCUUGACCAUUGCCUCCUCCAUUGUUUCCUCGGUGAAGUUGUGCCAUAGCUGCCGUGACCGCAGCAGACACGGCUGCCUGGAAAGCAGUGGAGUCAACUUCCGGCGGGGUUGGUUCGGGAUUUCCGCGAGUAGCUGGGCGAGGCAUCUUUCUGUCAUGAAACGGAAAGAUGUUGAGUGUACGUGGUUUCGGUGAGGUUAUGAUCCUACUAACUAGGUGUAGGGUACGAACCUAAGCAUUACUAUCAUCAAGCAUACAAUCAUAACACCUCAACACAUAACAACUGAGAAUAUCAUAGCAAAACACACAAAAGUUUAUUAAUAUUAUCCGUGUUUAGUACAAGAAAAUUUGCUCGUAGGAGCAUACAUAAGUAACACUAAUCCGACAGCAUAACGGCUCCAUGAGUAGUGUAGUCACUUAAACAUAGAGCCGGAGUACAUAACAUAGUUACUAAUAUCCUACUACGAUAGGUCUAUCCCUAACCGCGAUGAGCUGCGUCAGGAGGUGGUGCCGAAGUCAUAUGCCGAAAUGUUGCGCCAGUAGCUGCGCCAUCUCUGCCAUGUCUCCUAUAACUUCAUCCCUCUCGUGCUCUGCUCUCACUGCCCGAGCUUCCAUAGCAUACAGCUGUUGUCGCAGUGCGGCGAUCUCAGCUUCGAGGGAACGGUUCUCCCUUGGGGGGUUCACUGGUGGAGCGGGGUGAUCUGGUUGUGCCUCGUCCUCGCAUGGUGGGAUGGGGUCCUGGCCCCCGACCUGACCCUCCUCGUCGUCAUCGUCGACCUCUCCAAAUUCGUAGUCGGUGUCUAUAUAUUCGUCGGGUUCGACGUCGUGUGCUUCUCCUGGAUUCUCUCCUGGCUCAUCCACCAGCAUCCCGUGAGCUACUAAGGCCUGAUGAAACUGGAUACCCGGCUGCUCCUCCUCAGGCUCCUCCUCCUCCUCUAGCCACCCGUUGUUUCCCUGAUUAGGGAAGUAGGGGUCUCCAGGGUGAUGAAAACCAGCCAUGCUGUCUGCGCGAGUACGUAAUUAUGCUACAUUAUUCCUAGGGUACUAUGACUAUUGCACAGACUAAGCAAACAUUCUCUUUUUGGGUGAUAAAGGGUAUAGUUUUAGGUUCCCUGGCUAUCCCGAUCUCAUCAAGACGUGUGUUAGUUUUACCUUGGAGAGAAUGUAGUUGAUCAGGCUACAUUCACUCCUUGGUAUCACUAAGAACAGUCCCGAAUUAACCGAGAUACCAGCAUUAUUGUGUUUGAUUCGGCGUUAGGUCCUUAUCCCUAAUGCAAGCAAGUGUGUUUUAUUUACUUGUUUUGUUCAGAGUUAUGUUAGUCCCUCUUUUUGGUUUAUAGUUGCAUAUCAAUGUAUGGCUCGACAUGCUAGUUCACUAUAAACAAAGCUCUGAUACCAACCUGUCACACCCCCGAACCAGACGGCGGAAACGUCCGGGGGCUGUCGUGACUCAAUUGAAUACCAUAACAUUGAAUAUAUAUGAAACAUAACAACAUUCGUCACCAUUCAUCAACAUAGUACAACCAGUAGUGUUUACAUAUCAUACAUUGUUUAAACAUUACAUUCCCCAAAAAUUAAUUUGUUCAAUUCAUACAAAAAUAAACUGCAACCGUCACUGAAUAUGAUUUCCCUUGAUUCACUGGUUCCCUGAGAAUACAAGUAUUUUGAAAAACGUCAACAUAUGAAAUGUUGGUGAGUUCAUAAGUAGUGUUUGAAAUCGAAUGUUUGUAUUGUUUGAAAAACCACCAGAAAAUCCGAUAUUUUCUGAAAAGAAAAGCUUUUGAAAACGUUUGUGAAGAUCCAUAGGUAUGCUUGUUUGUUUCUAUACUUGUAAAAAAAAAUGUUCAUUGAAGUUGUAUGCAUUUCAAAUCUGUAUGUAUUGAAAACCCUAGGAAAACCCGAUGUUCUCCUAGUUCCUUGAAUUACAUGAAGUUACAUUGAAACCAUUGCAUAGCGUAUAGUGUCAGUCCCAGGCGACGUUGGAAGGUUCUCGAGCAUGAUUAAUUACUACAAACCCGCAUUACACAAACGCCCAGUUUAUAGUUAUACUAACGAUCCCGAAGGCGUCGUCCGUACUAAUCACGUUAUCCAAUCGCCCUGACUAGGUGUAGUCCCACAUCCGAAGAGAAAGAGGUCACGAAGACCCCGGUGACUCCAUUAACCGGUUGGGGAUAAAAAUGUACGAGGGGUCCCCGACCCGCCUCGCAUAAAAUGUAGACUUUACUAGCUAUACCAAAGGACCCUUGGGGACCAGUAGUAUACAAGCCAUUGAAAGUCCAUUUACGUUGUGUCGGAUCGGUAAAACCCAACACUCCGUAAAAAAAAUGUCUUCGGGCCUUAAGAUCAGGUCAUUGGGCUAGCUAGGCUCAACGAACAAGAUUUUACACUUGUG
rnacentral:lncRNA from 1 species